rnacentral:lncRNA from 1 species
CUAGAAGACAAAGAAGGAGAAGAAGAAGACAAGGAAAGGAAGGAAAAGAAGAGGAAGAAAGUGAAGAAGAAGACAAGGAGAAGAAGAAAACCUCUCCUCUCCUUCUCUAGUUUGGACAAGGAGCAAGUUUAGAGGUAAGCUUUGCCCCUUCUCAUGCUAAAUUCCAAACUAGGGUUUGGAUUAACCUAGAAAUGGUUUUAAUGGAGUAUUUAGAGUAUUGGAAGCUUUUCUUUUGCUUCUUUUGAGAUCAAGACCAUAGAAAUGGUGAAGCUUGAGGUGAGCUUCAUCACCUCUCAUGGUGAAACCCUAAGUCGGGUUUUGAUUUGUCUAAAGAUGGUUAUAAUGGACUUUUUAGAGUAUAAUGAAGCUAUUUUUGCUUCUCUUUGAGAUCAAACCCUAGGUUUGAGAUAUGUAUUGGAGCUAGGGCACCAAAUUGGGGCUUUUGCUCAUGAGGGUUUCUAAGUGCAAUUGACCCUCUAGAAACCUAAUUGGGGGUAUUUCCGACGCGUUGGUGCGCUCGGAUUAACGUUAUGAAAAGCCGAUGAAAAGAUAUGAGCAAAAUGACCUAUUAGGGUUUCAUUUUGCCGCAGGUAAAGAACGAAGGGUCUAAAAAUCCCAAGAAAAUCAUCGGAGCACCUUUGAAAGCCUACGAGGUGGGUGGUGCUUCUCAAACUCAUUGAACUUCUCUCUAUGCCUAAUGUGUCAUUCAUUUGAGCAUAUAUAUAUGUUGUUGCAUGCAUUUUAGGGUAAAGUAAUGAUGAAAAUGUAAUGUUGCAUGAUUGUGAGUACAACUUGCAUAAUAUGAUGAAUGAGAACCUUAUGAAUGUUAGAACCCUAUGUGUAUGCAUGAGAGAAAAGUGAGCACCCAAAGUGAGCAAAAGAACAGAGUGACACAAUGACAUAGAUCGAGUGGCAUUCGAAACGUAAAGUAAAGUGACACUAGAGUUAGUGUGAGCCAAAGAACCAAAGUGAUGUAAAGAAUGAUGAAAAUGACAAUGUGUAAAGUUAAAGUAAAGUGGGGCAAUAAGAACGAGAAAUGUAAAGAACAAGAAUGCUAAAGAAAACCAAAGUAAAAGAAAAGUAAAGAACAACGAUUGCUAGAGUGGCAACAUAAAGUGAUGUAAUGAACACUAGAGCUAGUGUAAAGUCAAGAUUGAACUUAUAAAUCCUUUGAGUUAAGGAUAUGAUCAUACUUGCUAUGAGUUCCGUGCUCGAGGGCGGUCGCUCCCCCUCGGGCGAUGCGCUCCGGAGUUAUGCAUCACGGGUUGGAGUAAACCCGAAGGACGGUCCUAGCGGGUGAGUUCCUGCGAUGAUGGACUUAAUGUGAAGCAAGUUAAUGUGGCGAAACCCCCGGGUUAGCCUUGAGAUUAAAGAAUAAAGAACAAAGAGCAAAGUGUAAAGAACAAGAACAAAGUGUAAAGAUAAAGAACAAAAGAAUUUGCAUAAUCUGCAUUUCUUUAAUGUUGAGCAUAUUCCUUGCUUAUUGUUCAGGCAUAUUAGCAUCAUGUUGUAGAUUGGUUACCACAUUUCAGCUUAUCCUUUCUAUUAUGCCUGAGUUAGUCCUAGUGGGAAAGUCGAUGAUGUUGAGGCCGAACCCACUGGGAACUUUGCUGUAGUUCUCACCCCACUAUUUCCACAGAGCCGGGACCUAGCGAGCCGGCGAGCGACCGAGGCAAAGGUAUCGCGCCUUAGUCAGAGGCCACCAGAGUUGGGUUUACAUUUUGUUAGUAGACACCUUUUUAUCAUCUUUUGUACAUGAUGGUAAAUGAUGUAAAGAAAAGAAUGUACAUCUUAUUUUGAGGUAAAUGUGAUGUAAUAAAGAAAUGAUGAAAUUUUGUAAUGAAAUGCAAAGAAUCCUAAAUGUAAGAGAUGGAUGCAUUGUAUAUGAUCUAAAAUGAAUCAUAUUACUUGUGUUGUAAGAGAUGGAUGCAUUGUAUAUGAUCUAAAAUGAAUCAUAUUACUUGUGUAGAUGUUUAGUUUUCCUUUCUUUCACUAAUGGCUAUUGCUUACCCUCGCGUAAGCCGUUUGUGUAUGUUUCCCCUAGUGCAUUUCUUGAUUGAAUUUGUACACGUGAUGAGCCUUGGGCGGAUAGGGGAAACUCUGUCCGUCCGGCGUCUGUUUGACGUGGUCGGGUCGGGCCAAAUUGGUGUCGGUCCCGGGGCGGGACAGGGUAUGUUGGUUCUCCUCGCCCGACAGUGAUUCAACGGGUAUGUUGGUUCUCCACGCCCAGUAAAAGAGAUGGCAAAUAAGAAUCAUAACUACAGGUACGUUGGUUCUUCUCGCCCGGUAGUAAUUCAACGGGUAUGUUGGUUCUCCUCGCCCGUAGGUCCAUUGAGCGACUUGUGGUUCGGGGUUCGACGGUAUAUCCUCACCCUGUGAGUAGACUUAUAGUCGAGAGGAUUGAAGACUGAGGUGCAUGUGAGACUUCCUUCGCCUCGAGCCUAACAGAGCGCGGACUAUCCGCGGUGGAUUAACUCAAGACCAAGUCGAGUAGCAUAGUUGGCUAAGGUAAAAGUAACCUUACGAAAGAAUGGCCAAUGAGCAUGGUGUGACUAAGAAUAAAGAAUAAAGAAUGAAGAAUGACUAAUGUUAAAGAAUAGCAAAUGCUAAAGAAUAGCUAAUAAUGUAAAGAAUGAUUAGCGAUAAAGAAGGGCUAAGAAUAAAGAUAGCAUCAAUUAAUCUACUUGCAUGAGUUGCAUGAUUUGCAUAUUGCAUAUUGUGAGGCAUGAAUAUGAUAAAUGUUAGUUGCAUGAAUUAUAUAUAUCUGUGGAUAUUUGUUGGACUAACAUAUUUGCAGUGCCUUCUUUGGAUCUGGUGGGUCGAGCUCUUUCCUUGGGUGGCCAUACCCACUGGAAACUAUAGACAAUAAUUCUCAUCCCUGUGUUGUUUUUGGGGGUUACAGGUUCACACGUGAGCGGCGCGGCGGGCAAGGCAAGGGCGUAACUCCAUAAAUAGCGCCCUACCACCAAGACCAGAGAUAGUAGUACCCCGAGUCGGCUUAGAACAAUGUUGUAAUAAAUUGUACUAACUUGGAUUGUAUUUGGAAGCUAAUUGAGAAUUGAAAAUGUAAUAUGUAAAAUGUAUGUGAGUUGAAUGCUUGUAAUAGUAUAGUAUUUAUAUUUUCAUACCUUCCUUAUGCAAUCUUUGUUGAAUGCUGUUCCUGGUUGGAAUCUCGCGCAUUGUAUGGAUUGUGACGCCUUGGACGUACAGGGGAGACUCUGUCCGUGGUAUAGGAAAAAUCCUGUCCGUUUGGCGGUCUGUUGGCGUGCCCGAAUCCGACCAAAGAGGCGGGCUCGGGGCGUGACAUAUCUAGAGAGAGGAGAGAGCUUCUCUCUCUACCUUUAUUGGUGUGUGUGUGUGUUGGGCUGUGGAAGAAGGAAGAAGAAGGAUGGAGGCCUUCUUAUAAGUCAACCUCCCACAAUUACCAAUCAGCCCUUGCACUUUCUGGGCAGUUUUCGGGUUCAGGGUCCGGACCUUGGCUAGAGGGUCCGGACCCCGUAGGUCCCUCCAACCCAGAAUUUCAGGACUUUGCCAAAUUUUCAGCAAUUUCAGUCUUUCGCCAAUUUUGGUUUGUUUUCACUCGUUUUAGCUCUCGGGGCCUCCGAUGCACUUUUAAUCGUACCAAGACACCAAAACAUAUUUUCGAGCGCGUUUAGGUCACCGUUUCAUCUACGCUUUGCCGGAUUUCGGCCAAAGUCCAACCUAGCUAUUCGAGUUUCGUUUUUGCGUCCAACUCACACCGAAAUCAAUCGGAUGCACCCGAACCUCACCGGAACUACUCCAAGAAUAGCUUUACAAACUAACAUACCCUGUAACUUCAUAACUAUAGAAGUUCGGUAUGCUACAGUGUUGCAUAUGUUUUGUGACCUAGUUGGUCGGUUGUUGUAUUCCGUAUCUGUGACCUCUUCGGUCGGCUUACUGCAUUGUUAUCGUGACCUACUUGGUCAGUUGGACUACUUGUGACCUAUACGGUCGGUAUACCCUGAGAGGUAGGAUUGUCGGCUAGUGGCUGACGGUUAGUUCUGGAUUAUACCGAUGCAUGAUGUAACAUUCUUGUGACUUAUUGGUCGGUUCUUGCGCAUACAUGGUAGUUGACCUGAGUGGUCGGUACUUACGUACCUUCGGGAGGAUGUUGAGUUGUUCCAUCCUAGUUGACCUGAGUGGUCGGUACUUGUGUUUCCUUAUGGUUCGAUGACCUAUUGGUUUCUCGAGGGGCGGUGAUUGUCGGGUAGUUGCUGACGAUUAGCUAUUGAGCAUAUACAUGACUAUACCUUGUACGGUACUGAAGGAGUAUUAGAUAGGGUUACUAACCCAAGGUACUUCAGUUGCCAGCCCAGUGGGAGGUGAUGAGUCAUAGACAGGCUUCGCCACCCUGAGUUCUCAACCCCAGUCUUGAGACAGAGUUAGCGACUCUGCGUAAUGGUUGUUGUGUCCCUCCGGAGUGGUACUUGAUUUGCGGUUCUUGAGACCUAUGGGCGAGCUUAGGCCAAGUCUUCAUGACAGGUCACAGAGAUUGGGUAUAUCUUGGACUUCUAGUAUGUCCAGUUGAUGCAUACUUGCACCUUGUUCUGUAUUACAGUAGCGGCUAGUUAUAUUCUCUGUAUUGUUGUUUACCCCUGCAUCAUUACUACUAUAGUUAUGAUAUCCAUGUAUGCAUUCUGUUCUACUUUACAGUAGCGGUAGUUACAUGUUCUAUUAUUGUUUCCUUUCCUUCUGGUAUUAUAGCUACUAUAUUUGUGAUAUCUACAUAUGACUUUGUUGAUCUCUUUCUGCCGGUGAGUACUUUUCGCCUUCGUCGGCUUGCGGUACCCACUGGGAGGGGAGACAUAUUUACAUGUUCUCACCCCCCACCAUUUUUCAGGUAUUGCGGGCGGUGAGGGUUGAGACGAGACGUGAGACACGUUCGUAGCGGUCGAUAGAGUCUCCGGCCCGGUGACAUUCGGUCUAGUUUCUAUCCUUGCUUAUUCAAAAUAUAUAACUUAAACUUUAUGGUUCAGUUGGCUUUCAUUUAAUUGGAUAAAUGAGAUUUUGUGAAUGAGAUAAAGAUUUAAUGAUUUUCAUGAGAUGAAAAUGGUUUUCUAUCCCUCGUGAUAGCGUGUUUUAAAGAAAAAGGGUUUCCGUGUGGGAAACAGUUUCGAUAGGGUUUUUAUUGGUUUCAUGACUCUUAGUGUUUCAAAACAAGUUUCCGGGUAGGAAACAUUUUAAACUAAUAUAUGUGGAAUUACUAUUAUCUGUGAGGAUAUAAAGUGGAAUCUGUGAUGUGGUAUAUGUGUGGGGAUGUUUGUACAGUUGUGGUUGUAUUUGUACUUGUGCGACGCCAUGCAAAUACAGGAGAGACUUUUUCCGUGUGAACAGUGGACUCCCUGUAUUUGUGGCGAAUCUGGCAUACCCUGGGGAUCAGAUUUUUCAAAAAAAAAUUUGGGCGCUUCCGCAUUGCUUUUAAAUCAAAAAGGGACCUCGGGGCGUGACACAAAGUCCGCAUCCAUACAUAUUCUUGUGCUGUAAGGGUUCCACUUUGUAUUCCGCCUUCGUACUAGAGAGCGCUACAUCGUCUUGUUUCUUAGUACACCAUGAUACACAAGCGGUGUCACGCCCCGAGCCCCGCCAAUUGGGCCGGUUCGGGCGCGUCGAACAGACGCCGGACGGACAGCACCUCCCCUGUCCGCCCAAGGCUAAGGCGACGAGAUCAUGUACAACAAGUUCCCAGAAAAACAACUUGAAAUACGUACAAGAUCAAGCAACAAUAACGAGAGCACAACCAAUGCUAAACAUAUAAGAGCAAUCAUCACAAGUAUAAACAAGUGAACGAAAGAGAGAGAUUUCUAACUAUUACAUCCAUUCAAUCUCUUUACAUUGCUUUAAUUUACAUUUUUAAGCUUUCAAAACAUAAUCAUAAAUUUUACAAUCUUUCCAAAACAUCUCACAACCUAUACAUCAUCUAUGCUCGUAUACAAAAGGUAGCUCUAAUGCAUAAUGGAAAGUCACUACACUAGGGCUCUAUGCCCUUGCCGCGAUCCUCCCCUGGAACGCUCGCACUUGGCCCUGCAAUAAAAUGGGGUAAGAACUAUAUAAAUAUAGUUCCCAGUGGGUUCGGCCGCCGACUCCGCCGAUCUUCCCACUAGGUCUAAGCUGGCACAGAUAGAUAGAUAGAUAGAUAGAUAUUGAACUGCAACUACGAUCUAAUAUGCCAUCAAAUGCAAACAAUGCAUAGAAUAUCAUCUAAUAACAAGCCUACCAUUUUGCUAGUAUGCUUCAACAAUGUAAUGAAUACAAAUGCAACAUAGUUAUGUAAUCCUAUAACAUAUACUAUGUUUAAUCAUGGUAUGAAUGCAAAUCCACUUAUGCUAUUCAUGUCAUUACCCAAUCCACUAGGCUAACACGCCUAAGAUCUCAAAUCACAUAGGUGAGGAGCUACCCCGCUCUUAUCUCACCGGUCUCACAUCUCGAAUGCUAUAGGUAAAGAGUUACCCCACUCUUGCCCGACUCAGAUCUCAAGUCCUAUAGGUGAAGAGCUACCCCGCUCCUCGCCCAACUCAUAACUCAAAUGCCUAAGGGUAAGAGCUACCCCGCUCUAAUCUCAUAGGUGAAGGAAUAGUAUGUCCACUCACAGUAUGAAUGCAAAUUCACUAUGUUAUUCAUGUCAUUAUCUAAUCCUUGGCCAACUCUGAGGUUCGCCCACGACUCACAUGCAUCUCAUGGGUAAGGAGACUCAACUCGCUCAGCAAACCCGAGACCGUCUGCGGGACCCCAUAAGGCUAUCCCCGGGACCACAUAAGGCUAUCCCUCGUGUGACAAACUCCGGAGUGCACGCUUGUGUGGAGCGACUACCACGAGCUCUGAACAGACAGUGAGUAUGAUCCAAUUCUCUCAACUCAAGGAUACCCUACCAUCUAGGGUUAACAACACAACACUUUAGGUUCUCUACCCGAAUCAUUACUAGGGAAAUCCACCUAUCCCUAUGUUCAAUGCCAUAAGUGUCAACUACACUAAAUUCUCAUGCAAUAUGCCAUCUCAUGCAAUAUGCCACAAACUAGGGAAAUGCACCUAUUCCCUAUGUUCAAUGCCAUAAGUGUCAACUAUACUAAAUUCUCAUGCAAUAUGCCACAAACUAGGGAAAUGCACCUAUUCCUUAUGUUCAAUGCCAUAAGUGUCAACUACACUAGAUUCUCAUGCAAUAUGCCACAACUAGGUUCCGAUGCCACUCGUCAUGUUAUUAACACUAUUUACAUGCCACUCGUCCAAGUUCUAAGUGUUUCUAAUCCACUAAUUUACGAUUCAUUGGUUCUCGUUACCAAAUUCAAGUUCACCAAUUUUUAUCACUAUAGGAUCUCAUGUCAAUCAACCCAAUCCUCAUGCCCCUUAGAAUCAUGUGUCAAGCUACCCCGCUACACUACUAAGCAAGCAUGUAAGGAAAGCAAGAAAAGAAUGCAUCUAUAACAAUUAUCCUAUAAUGCAUAAGAACAAAUAUAUGGAACAUGAUCAACAAUUCUAACUCGGACAUAGAAAGAAGCUCAGUUCCUUCGGGAUGGACACCCCCCACCUUUUAUCGCGUUCCGAUUGCCCGUCGUCACUUGCAAUCGGUCUCCCGCGGCACUCAUCGUCCGGUUGGCCCAAUCUUGCGAUUGCUCACCAACCGUGCGUCACUUCGCGGCCUCGGAAUUUAUAGGUCUACAACUUGGCGCCACGAGCCCACGAAUUCGAUUUCAUGAUUUUAGGAAGUCGCCUCGGCCCUCCAGGCGGAAACGAAGCCAAAAAUGUCGUUUCUUCAAUAUCUUCGCACCGGCUCGACGAAUCGCCGAACCGACUUCGCCAGCGUGUCAGAAUACCUAACAAUUAGGUUUACGAAGGGUCAAUUAAGAUCAAACCCAACUAUUUACAAAACCCCCAUUUGGAGCCCUAGGUGUUCAACAAUGCAAGAAUACCUCAAACAAGGUCUUGAAUCAUGCAAUUAACACCUAUUUAACAUCCUAGGGUUCAUCUAAAACCAUCUUUAUAGUAUAAGAAUCUAACCCCAAAGAUUCACCAUGAUUGAGCUUAGAAGUUUACCUAUCCAAGCUUGCUACUAGCCAAGGAAGGAGAAGAAGAAGAAAUCCCUUCUCUUGAUCUUGAUCUCCACCAAAAUCCUCUCCUCCAACACCUUCUAGAGAGAGAGAGAGAGAGAGAGAGAGAGAUGCUUUUGGCUGCAAAUGUGAGGGAGGAGAUAAAAGAGUCCAAACUCUCUUCUAUACACUCACCACAUUUACACAAAGGCCUCUCAACAAUAUGAGUUGUGCACAGCCCAAACUAGGCCAUUUUCGGGUGCGGGGACCGGUCCUUGGACUUGAGGGACCGGAUCCCGUAGGUCCCAAAAAACAGCAUUUCCAGACUUAGCUAAAUUUUUAGCUUUUUCAGCUUUUGAGUCCGUUUUCGCUCGUUUUCACUCCAUGAGUCUCCGAUUCAUGUCAAAUCGCACCGAGACUCCCAAUACAUGUUUUCGAGCGUAUUUACAUCAUCUUUUCACCCACGCUAAUGCCGGAUAUAGUUCAUAGUCCAACAUAGCCCUUCAGGUUCCAUUUUCACUUCUACGCGCUUCGAAAACGCCCAAAUGCUCCCGGACUUCACCGGAACUUCACCGGAACCAUUCCGAUGGCUCUCCAACCAAAUGUACACCGUAACUUCAUAAUUUUAGAAGUCCGGUACCUUACAUCCUCCCCUCAUUAAAAAGAGUUUCGUCCUCGAAACUCACUAACUUCUAAUCCAAUCCACACCUCGACUCAACUUAUUGAGUAAUCGAGGGUUUCAAUGUACUUUCGCACUCUGGGGUGACCUUUUACUCAUUGGAAUUAUCCAAAGAUCCACUACGGAGGAUGUGAGACUGGAUUCACUCAUAUUCGCUAAGUAUAACACCAAAAGUGCAUUACUACCUCCGCAAGCCUCGAUGGCAGCACGAGUCGAUAUUCGACGACUCCUCACGCUCCAACAUCACUCGCUACAUAGCAUACAAAGAGCCUUUCUUUGCAUUUCUCAUCCCCUUAGGAAACACACUCUGAUUCGACCACCGGCAUUGCUUAAAAGCAAUAUCAUUGGUGCAUCACCCAAUCAUGAGUGCUCUAUCCUCAAUUGGAUCCUUGCUCUACUAUGAGAUGGCCUACCCCGGCACAUCUCAAAUUUUCAAUCCUCAAGAGAGCAUUGUCCUCCAAUUCUCACAUGGUUAUCCAAUAUCCAAGUGUCUUCUAGAGACCACUUUGCUUUCUCUUUCACAAGCCACGGCUAGCAUCAAUCCGCUCUCGCAACAAGCUCACACGAACUCCCAUUCGUGAAUCCAAGCCUAAACUUGUCGAUAAGGCUACUCGCCCACCGUUUACCUCGAUCUCAUAGGUGAACCACAGGUCACCAAUCCUACGUAGGCCUACCGCCUAAACCAGUCUCAACUACGCGCAACGUCUCUCGCUCGCAAGCGUAGACCCAAUCAUAACCGGGCGAAGUUCUCACUUGGGAGUUCGCACACACUCCAACCAGGAGCAACCAAGACCCCAAACUACGUCAAGACCUUGGGUUGGGUCACAACCACACUCAGUGUGUCAUUAAUCCCACACUCUAAUACGUGGCAUUCCACGUUCCCGGUUCUAAGCUCGAACUACCAUCCUGACCAACACUUUGCCCUACCCCGAGCCGCUGUCACUCACAGCUGACUACGCCUGCCCAAUGGGCCCAGGCUCCACAGUCCACAAAUGGUCCAGGCACGGAUCGUCCUCAAGCAAUACCCACAACCGUCGUCUCACACGACACGCUCACCCGAGCAACACACGUCACCAUCGGCUCCUAGGCACCUAGUGCGAGCCCAAACUAGGCCAUUUUCGGGUGCGGGGACCGGUCCUUGGACUUANGGUUUAACCAUUUACUAAGUCAAGUGUCACUUUAUGACAUUAAUGUUCACUAUGUCAAACAUGAGUUCUAUGUCCAAGAGCAUGUCAAACUUGUUAUUUCACUAAAUGAAAUAUAAUUUCAACCAUAUGUAAAGUGUGCUAUUCACAUGCAAGUUUAUUAUUUUUCUCUCUACUAUAUAGAGGUUAUAAAACAUGAUACAUGACAUAUGCAUUUUAAGCAUUCAAAAAUUCAUUUAUACUCAUCUAGCAUGAAUAUGCAUGAUUUUCCAUUUUACAAUAAAGGCAAUGACACAGGAGGAGUUCACCCAUUUCGGUGAGGUCAAACCCACCGGAUACCCCUCGAAACCCUUUCGUUUGCGCGAACGAGGUUGUACACGAGUCUCCUAGCUCUCUAACAAAAAUUCUAAGAGGGUUAGGGGCUUCGAACGAACACCCCCACAAAAUUCAUAAAAUUCAACCCAUAAAUAGGUAGACAAUUACCUAAUAUGGUGAAGAACUCUCCCAAAGACCCAAUAAGAGCUAGAACACUUCUAUUCCAACCUAGAGGAAGGCAUAGGAACCAUCAAUUUAGCCCUUAAGGCCCUAGUAAGAGAAACCCUAAAAUAAAACUCUACUUUUCAAAACUAGGUUUUCAUCCCAAAAAUCCACCAUAACACAAACCAAAGGAGGAAUCAAAGCUACUAACCUCUCUUUAAGCUCCAAACCAAGCUAGAAAGGUGCUAGGGUUGGAGUUCUUUCCCCAACAAAGCUAAUCUUUCUCUCCAAGGCUUCUCCAUGGUCCAACAUGCAACACCAUGCAAAGAGAAGAAAACAGGAGAGAUCAAUCCAUGAAAUUUCACAAGAAAAAGAGAGGAAAUCUAGAGAAUGGUAGAGAAGGAGACUCACAUUCUCUUCUCCUCAGGUUCCAGCACAAAAGAGCCCUUCAAAGGGGUGUGGGGUUAUUUAUAGAAAUGUAACAAUCCCAAAAAAAUCCCUAAAAAACAUACAGCCUGCAGCUGUACUACGUACCGAUACGCGGGCUGGAGUAUUGGUACCCGGCACCAAAUCCGCAAACCCGAGCCUUUGUAAAGCAAACAGACCGCAGUGUACCGGUACCCGCAUGGUGCAGUACCGGUACCAGUCUCCAGUACCGGUACUCGGGCGAUGCAGUACCGGUACUCUACCUCGCAGAGAUCAAACCCGAGAGCACCAUUCUCGGUUACGCGACGGGGUUUCGGUACCCCUACUUGGUACCGGUACCCAGCACCCCAAAACCUGUAAUGUAACACACUGAACAUUAGCAAAUUGUAAAGUUCAAGUGUUUGAUCAGUGUUUCGAGCUUUUUCAAGCUUUCUGGAGGGUCGUUAACUGUGUUUCGAUCUAUGACUCGCGUCUCGAGGAGCGAUGAUGAGUACUUGCAUCAAAACCUUCAAACUGCAGAUUUUGGGGUGCUGGGUACCGGUACCAGGAAAGGGGUACCAGAACCGCGUCGCGUACCCGAGAAGAGUGCUCUCGGGUUUGAGCUCUGCGAGGCAGAGUAUCGAUACUGCAUCGCCCGAGUAUCGGUUUGGACCUGGUACCGGUACUGCAUCGCGCGGGUACCGCUACCCAGUGCGUUUUCUCGCUUCACUGAAGCUCGGGUUUGCGCGAGCAGCUGCGGGGUGCCGAUAUUCCAGCCCGUGUACCGGUACGCAGUGCAGAUAUAGUCUGCACAUUUUUUAGGGGUCUUUCUGAGAUUGUUACAUCUCUAUAUAACUCCCCCCAGUUCCUUGAGAGCUCUUUUGAGCCCUAAACCGUAGAGACCAGAGGUGAGAGCUCCCUUCUCUUGAUUUUCUCCCUUUUUCUUGUGAUUUAGCUUUAUUUGAUCUCCUCUUUUUGUUUUUCCUUGCUCUAUGUUGGUUUGGCCACCUUGGAGAAGCCUUGGAUUGAGGAUUGGAGCUUGUUUGGAGGAAAUAUUUUCAAUCCUAGCUCAUUCCAAGUUCGGUUUGGAGCUUUUAGAAAGGUUAGUAGCCUUGAUCUUCUUUUAGAUCAUGUUUUGUGGGAUUUUUUGUGAUGAAAUCUAAAUAUGAGAAAUUUAGGAUUUCUUUUGGAGUUUUUUGAUUUGUAUCCUUUGGGGCUAAAUUGAUAGGUGUAGAACCUUAUUCUAGGUUGGAAUAGAAGUGCUCUGGCUCUCAUUUGGAGUUUGGGAGGGUUUUCUACCAUUCAAGGUGAGUUUUGACCUUUUUAUGGGUUGGUUAAAGAUUGGCUUAUGGGGUGUUCGUUCAUUGCCCCUAACCCUCUUAGAAUUUUCUUUAGGGAGCUAGUAGACUAGUGGACACUUUCGUUCGCACAAACGAAAGGGACACAAGGAGUACUCGGUGGGUUUGACCUCACUGAAAUAGGUGAACUCCCCCUAUAUUAUUUCUUAUGGUUUAAAAAUGGAAAAUCAUACAUAUUUAUGCUAGAUAGAGUAUAAAUAAAUUUUAGAAUGCUUAAAAUACAUGUGUUAUGUGUCAUGUUUUCAUAGCCUCUAUGUAGUAGAGAGAGAAAUGCAUAAUAACUUGCAUGUGAAGUGGCAUUCUUGUUCUAUGCUAAAGAUCAUAUUAUCUUUUGUAAAAUGACAAGUUUUUAUAUGCUUAUGGACAUAGAACAUAUAUUCGACAUAGUAAACCAUAAUGUUAUAAAAUGGCAUUGGACUUAGUAAACGAUUAAACCUCUACACUAUGACAUAGAACUAGACCUUUGGGUUGCUAGUAUUUAUACCAUGUUGGAGACAUGACGACCGUGUAUUUGAGAUGACGAUUAUGCUUGCUUGCCAUUUGUGCUCAUUUGCACAUGCUUGUGAGGGUCGCUCCUCACAAGUCGGCACUCCGGAGGUUGGCCUAUGCGAUAUUUACUCGCCCGUGCUGGCUCGGUGCCUACUGGGUCGGCGUGGGACAGGCUCAUUCCUUGCGGGGGACUGUUGGAUUACCACGGGCCAUUAGGUACGGCGCAAGCUGGACUAUACUUGUGUAGGUCCCAAGUUGAGAUUGGAUAAUGAUAUUUAAACUAUUAAUGUGACAAUCACUACUAGAUAGUAUAUAGUAGUUGGAUUCGUUGUACAUGCUUAGUGCAUAUGGUGACAUGCUUGUUGCAUACUAUUGGACACAUUGGACAUGCUUAGUGCAUAGUUGUGGACAUGCUUAGUGCAUAUGGUGACAUGCUUAGUGCAUACUAUUGGACAUAUUGGACAUGCCUAAUGCAUACUAGUGGACAUGUAUUCGACAUACUCAUUCAUGAUAGAGUAGUAAUAUUACUUGAUGAACACCAUGCUUAAUUGAGGCAUAGUAGCUUAGCAAAAUUUUAUUCGGAAAAUAUACAUGUUGUUUAUUUAUGUUCUUACUACUACUUUUGCCUCUAUAGCCUAGCGGUGUAUUUCACUGAUGUCGGCGGCUUACCCACUGGGAACUUUUAUUUAAGAGUUCUCACACCCUCUAUGUUGUUGGUUUUGUUUACAGAGCCUUCCAUACUGGGUGAGGCUAGGGAUAGGGACCGCGGCAAGGGAGUUGCCCCUAGCUAGGAUUGAGUGGUGAUUGUACUAAGUGGUCAUCUCUCUUUUUGUAUUUAUUAAAGAGAUAUUUUUGUACCCUAUGUAUAGAGACCACCAUUUUUGUAUCUAGCUUUAUGUACUUGGAACACAGAUGUAUGAUUUAUUUAUGGUUAUGAUAGUUGUUCAGUUUUAUUUCUACCACUUGUUAUUAGAAUUUAGUUGUUGUAUGCUCUGAUAACCUACUAGAUGCUUUCUUUUUCUCGUUCUAUUCAUUGCAUUGUUGUAAACGCCUUAUAUGUUAUAGGCAUAUGGUGGGUCUGGACAUGCGCCGGGCGGGCUUCCGUUGGGUCCCGGGGCGUGAAAGAUUAUAUUGGUAUCGGAGCCUAGGGUUCAGUGUUAGUGGAUCUAGCAAAUCUUAGGCCGGUUGGACUAUAGGAAAUAGGCUCGUGAGAGACAGGGUCUAUUUGACAUGCAAGCGAAAGUAUUAUGAUUGUGUUUUAUAUUAACUCUAAAAUGUUGGAGUUUAAUUGAAGUGUAUAGCUUCUAACUUCGCGGAAGAUUACGUUGGCGGCCGACAACGUAACAUCGGAAGUUAGUAGUGAGGCACACUUCAUUACUUUCACAUGAUUUGGGUAUUGUUUCCUUUGAGUGGGUUUGCGAUAGCAUGAGUUUUACUAACUUGCACUUUUAUGUUGUUGCAGUGAUCAUGCCGACUACUCGCUCUAAAUCUGCUGGGGCGCAUAAUGUGGCAAACUUUGAGGAGGUAGAGUCCUCCGCUACCUCCAGAUCUAGUAAGGUCCGCGAGUUGAGGACACAGCUUUCGGUCCUUACUAAGUUGGUGACCCAGCAAGCAGCGGCGGCUCAGCAGCAAGUCGAUGCAGCGUGCCGACAGGAGGCGCGGAUGAAGCGACUAGAGGACUUGCUUCUUCAGCAAUUAGCGGCGAGGGAGGCCCAGGAUCCCGCACCCCCUGCACCGGCCGAGGGUGUAGCAGCGAGGGUGUCGUCCCCGGCACCCGGUGCGUCUCGUGCGGCACCUAUUGUUGGGCAUCAAGAGGAGGUUGUUGUGGCACCACCGGCUCAAGUGCCCCUGACGGGAGCGGUUUUCCCGAUGAUGGUAGAGGGAGUGGAGAGAAAGUGGAUCAUUGGAUCGUGGAAAAGUGGUUAAUGCAUAUGGAGAAAUUGUUCUAUGACACCUUUGUGGAGUAGCGUGAUAGGGUUUGGCUCGCCACUCACCAUCUUGAUGGCAAGGCCUAAAACAAAUCGCGAAGGGUCCGACUGGACGAAUUGUCGAAGUAAAGUAUAAUCGAGAGAAAGAGAAUAGGGAAGAGGCGGAAGUGGCGCCAUCUUAGAAACGUCAAAGGAAAUGGCAAAACAAAGACCCUAAAAGAUCAAAGGUGAGAAGAGCGAGGAUGAAGAAGACGAAAGCCUCAAGCGAAGAAAGAAAAGAAAACAUGGAGAGGAAGAAAACAAGAGAGAGAAAGAGGGAGAGAAAAGCCGCCGAAUGAAAUUUCGAAGCCGGCUUUAAUGAUGAAGAGGAGUAUUGGUACCCGGCACCAAAUCCGCAAACCCGAGCCUUUGUAAAGCAAACAGACCGCAGUGUACCGGUACCCGCAUGGUGCAGUACCGGUACCAGUCUCCAGUACCGGUACUCGGGCGAUGCAGUACCGGUACUCUACCUCGCAGAGAUCAAACCCGAGAGCACCAUUCUCGGUUACGCGACGGGGUUUCGGUACCCCUACUUGGUACCGGUACCCAGCACCCCAAAACCUGUAAUGUAACACACUGAACAUUAGCAAAUUGUAAAGUUCAAGUGUUUGAUCAGUGUUUCGAGCUUUUUCAAGCUUUCUGGAGGGUCGUUAACUGUGUUUCGAUCUAUGACUCGCGUCUCGAGGAGCGAUGAUGAGUACUUGCAUCAAAACCUUCAAACUGCAGAUUUUGGGGUGCUGGGUACCGGUACCAGGAAAGGGGUACCAGAACCGCGUCGCGUACCCGAGAAGAGUGCUCUCGGGUUUGAGCUCUGCGAGGCAGAGUAUCGAUACUGCAUCGCCCGAGUAUCGGUUUGGACCUGGUACCGGUACUGCAUCGCGCGGGUACCGCUACCCAGUGCGUUUUCUCGCUUCACUGAAGCUCGGGUUUGCGCGAGCAGCUGCGGGGUGCCGAUAUUCCAGCCCGUGUACCGGUACGCAGUGCAGAUAUAGUCUGCACAUUUUUUAGGGGUCUUUCUGAGAUUGUUACAUCUCUAUAUAACUCCCCCCAGUUCCUUGAGAGCUCUUUUGAGCCCUAAACCGUAGAGACCAGAGGUGAGAGCUCCCUUCUCUUGAUUUUCUCCCUUUUUCUUGUGAUUUAGCUUUAUUUGAUCUCCUCUUUUUGUUUUUCCUUGCUCUAUGUUGGUUUGGCCACCUUGGAGAAGCCUUGGAUUGAGGAUUGGAGCUUGUUUGGAGGAAAUAUUUUCAAUCCUAGCUCAUUCCAAGUUCGGUUUGGAGCUUUUAGAAAGGUUAGUAGCCUUGAUCUUCUUUUAGAUCAUGUUUUGUGGGAUUUUUUGUGAUGAAAUCUAAAUAUGAGAAAUUUAGGAUUUCUUUUGGAGUUUUUUGAUUUGUAUCCUUUGGGGCUAAAUUGAUAGGUGUAGAACCUUAUUCUAGGUUGGAAUAGAAGUGCUCUGGCUCUCAUUUGGAGUUUGGGAGGGUUUUCUACCAUUCAAGGUGAGUUUUGACCUUUUUAUGGGUUGGUUAAAGAUUGGCUUAUGGGGUGUUCGUUCAUUGCCCCUAACCCUCUUAGAAUUUUCUUUAGGGAGCUAGUAGACUAGUGGACACUUUCGUUCGCACAAACGAAAGGGACACAAGGAGUACUCGGUGGGUUUGACCUCACUGAAAUAGGUGAACUCCCCCUAUAUUAUUUCUUAUGGUUUAAAAAUGGAAAAUCAUACAUAUUUAUGCUAGAUAGAGUAUAAAUAAAUUUUAGAAUGCUUAAAAUACAUGUGUUAUGUGUCAUGUUUUCAUAGCCUCUAUGUAGUAGAGAGAGAAAUGCAUAAUAACUUGCAUGUGAAGUGGCAUUCUUGUUCUAUGCUAAAGAUCAUAUUAUCUUUUGUAAAAUGACAAGUUUUUAUAUGCUUAUGGACAUAGAACAUAUAUUCGACAUAGUAAACCAUAAUGUUAUAAAAUGGCAUUGGACUUAGUAAACGAUUAAACCUCUACACUAUGACAUAGAACUAGACCUUUGGGUUGCUAGUAUUUAUACCAUGUUGGAGACAUGACGACCGUGUAUUUGAGAUGACGAUUAUGCUUGCUUGCCAUUUGUGCUCAUUUGCACAUGCUUGUGAGGGUCGCUCCUCACAAGUCGGCACUCCGGAGGUUGGCCUAUGCGAUAUUUACUCGCCCGUGCUGGCUCGGUGCCUACUGGGUCGGCGUGGGACAGGCUCAUUCCUUGCGGGGGACUGUUGGAUUACCACGGGCCAUUAGGUACGGCGCAAGCUGGACUAUACUUGUGUAGGUCCCAAGUUGAGAUUGGAUAAUGAUAUUUAAACUAUUAAUGUGACAAUCACUACUAGAUAGUAUAUAGUAGUUGGAUUCGUUGUACAUGCUUAGUGCAUAUGGUGACAUGCUUGUUGCAUACUAUUGGACACAUUGGACAUGCUUAGUGCAUAGUUGUGGACAUGCUUAGUGCAUAUGGUGACAUGCUUAGUGCAUACUAUUGGACAUAUUGGACAUGCCUAAUGCAUACUAGUGGACAUGUAUUCGACAUACUCAUUCAUGAUAGAGUAGUAAUAUUACUUGAUGAACACCAUGCUUAAUUGAGGCAUAGUAGCUUAGCAAAAUUUUAUUCGGAAAAUAUACAUGUUGUUUAUUUAUGUUCUUACUACUACUUUUGCCUCUAUAGCCUAGCGGUGUAUUUCACUGAUGUCGGCGGCUUACCCACUGGGAACUUUUAUUUAAGAGUUCUCACACCCUCUAUGUUGUUGGUUUUGUUUACAGAGCCUUCCAUACUGGGUGAGGCUAGGGAUAGGGACCGCGGCAAGGGAGUUGCCCCUAGCUAGGAUUGAGUGGUGAUUGUACUAAGUGGUCAUCUCUCUUUUUGUAUUUAUUAAAGAGAUAUUUUUGUACCCUAUGUAUAGAGACCACCAUUUUUGUAUCUAGCUUUAUGUACUUGGAACACAGAUGUAUGAUUUAUUUAUGGUUAUGAUAGUUGUUCAGUUUUAUUUCUACCACUUGUUAUUAGAAUUUAGUUGUUGUAUGCUCUGAUAACCUACUAGAUGCUUUCUUUUUCUCGUUCUAUUCAUUGCAUUGUUGUAAACGCCUUAUAUGUUAUAGGCAUAUGGUGGGUCUGGACAUGCGCCGGGCGGGCUUCCGUUGGGUCCCGGGGCGUGAAAGAUUAUAUUGGUAUCGGAGCCUAGGGUUCAGUGUUAGUGGAUCUAGCAAAUCUUAGGCCGGUUGGACUAUAGGAAAUAGGCUCGUGAGAGACAGGGUCUAUUUGACAUGCAAGCGAAAGUAUUAUGAUUGUGUUUUAUAUUAACUCUAAAAUGUUGGAGUUUAAUUGAAGUGUAUAGCUUCUAACUUCGCGGAAGAUUACGUUGGCGGCCGACAACGUAACAUCGGAAGUUAGUAGUGAGGCACACUUCAUUACUUUCACAUGAUUUGGGUAUUGUUUCCUUUGAGUGGGUUUGCGAUAGCAUGAGUUUUACUAACUUGCACUUUUAUGUUGUUGCAGUGAUCAUGCCGACUACUCGCUCUAAAUCUGCUGGGGCGCAUAAUGUGGCAAACUUUGAGGAGGUAGAGUCCUCCGCUACCUCCAGAUCUAGUAAGGUCCGCGAGUUGAGGACACAGCUUUCGGUCCUUACUAAGUUGGUGACCCAGCAAGCAGCGGCGGCUCAGCAGCAAGUCGAUGCAGCGUGCCGACAGGAGGCGCGGAUGAAGCGACUAGAGGACUUGCUUCUUCAGCAAUUAGCGGCGAGGGAGGCCCAGGAUCCCGCACCCCCUGCACCGGCCGAGGGUGUAGCAGCGAGGGUGUCGUCCCCGGCACCCGGUGCGUCUCGUGCGGCACCUAUUGUUGGGCAUCAAGAGGAGGUUGUUGUGGCACCACCGGCUCAAGUGCCCCUGACGGGAGCGGUUUUCCCGAUGAUGGUAGAGGGAGUGGAGAGAAAGUGGAUCAUUGGAUCGUGGAAAAGUGGUUAAUGCAUAUGGAGAAAUUGUUCUAUGACACCUUUGUGGAGUAGCGUGAUAGGGUUUGGCUCGCCACUCACCAUCUUGAUGGCAAGGCCUAAAACAAAUCGCGAAGGGUCCGACUGGACGAAUUGUCGAAGUAAAGUAUAAUCGAGAGAAAGAGAAUAGGGAAGAGGCGGAAGUGGCGCCAUCUUAGAAACGUCAAAGGAAAUGGCAAAACAAAGACCCUAAAAGAUCAAAGGUGAGAAGAGCGAGGAUGAAGAAGACGAAAGCCUCAAGCGAAGAAAGAAAAGAAAACAUGGAGAGGAAGAAAACAAGAGAGAGAAAGAGGGAGAGAAAAGCCGCCGAAUGAAAUUUCGAAGCCGGCUUUAAUGAUGAAGAGACGACAGCAAUAAAUGUGACCUAAUUAAUGCCGCAUAUAAGACAAAAUGGAAUAUGGGAGAUCAUGGCCGUCGAAAGGUGAAAAGACGGCUGAGAGAGAAAUCGUGCGGGGCAAUUCGAAAUCAUAAUUUCGAAACUCUCGCCUUCGAAAAAAAUUAUGCCAACUACCGAAUCGUCUGUUCGGAGGCUGCAGAGGGGGCAAUUGUUAGGGCCAAUAGUAAUUUGCCACGUGACGGGUUGGUGCAUGAUUCAUCCGGGAGCCAGGAUUAAAUAGCAUUUGGUGCACCGGGAGUAGAAAAAGAAAAAGGAGUCAUGGCAUAACUGCAAGCGGUUUUGAGUGGUUAGGAUCUGCUCAUAGUGGCCCGCAAAGAAAACGAAGUCACGACAUAAUCGCAAGGGCCUUUUCCCUGCGUAAAGAAGACCACCUUUCAAUUUCUCUACAUUUUCUUGCUUUUCUAGGAAUAGUUCUACUUGUAACCCUUUCCCACAUUUACUGUCUUUCCUAGGAGUAGUUUUAGGAUUAGAUUUUUUGAGUCUCUAUGCCCCACGGGCAUGCUCUCUUUUGUACAAGUUUCUAAAUUUGAUUUCAAUAUAUACAGGCAUUCGGCUCAUCAGCCGACCCAAAGUAUUGUGUAUUUCUUACAUUCGGCUCAUUUAGCCGAACAGUUUCUAAAGUAAAGGUUUUCGAACCCGACUGAUAUGAUCCCUCAUCAGCCGAAUCGUUUGAUCCGUCGGAGGGCGCGAACUUCGAGGUUCACCACGUGAAGCCGAACCCAAUUCUUGCACGCUUCCCUAAAGAGACCUUUGACCAGGUCAAAGGUUGAGGAAUUCGGCAUCUAGCAGUUUGUAUAGGAAACCUCUAUCCAUAUGGUAGGUCUAUGCGCAUCGCAGUGUGUCUUUAAAGGUAUUUUAAAAAAAUAAAUAUUUUUCCGCUGGCUUUCCUAAAAUAGAUUGUAGUAUCCAUAUUUCUUUAUCUUUUCUCUUCUUUUUUCUUUUUAUUUCUUUUGAGUUGGUAAGCUAGCUGGGGAUAAGGAUGCCACGUGCACCUUACCCCCAAGCAUGCUUAUCAUCUUGAUACAUGUGCAUUGUAUAUAUAUAGAUCUUGAGCCGUACGUAGAGGAGGAGCUCGGGUGGUGUGGAGUUUCGUCGACGUCGCGCCGCGGUGCCGUUCGAGCGUGUGUUCGUCGUCGUAGCAUCGCGAGGGGGGCCGGGCGAGGGUCCGAUUCCGCCGUUUUUGUUGUCGCGCCGGAUUGUGAUUAGCGUUUGAGGUGGGUUACAUCGGCUUUACUCCUAAGUUCGUAUUGGUCGACAUGUAUAGGUUUUGAUUUCGGUAAUUAAUGUUAGCUCAAAUUCAUGGAUUAAUUGUAGAUUGUGAAAUCUGAAUUUUGGAGCAUGUUUUAUAAAUUAGGUAGAUUAUACAUGUUGGACUUGAAAAUUGAAUUAGGAGAAAACCUGCGAUUUUGGCCUGUCACCUGUAUAAACUACUUGAUUUAGCUCUAGGAGCCGUUAGAAAAUUGUACUGUCGCAGUUUCUUCGAGACGAGUACUCCAGGUAGUUUAGAAUGUAUUUACACUCGUGCUGGUUCGCCGAGUGGAUUUUUACAGGGUCGUUCAGGUUGUUUCGGACUGUUGGGUGCCGUCAGAGUUGACGGUGGACCCGUAUCGCCUUUUUGGCGUCAGAUUGUGCCGAGGGCACGUUACCUGUUGGUUGUUAGACCAGUUUGAGUCGAUUACUUGACUUUGGCUAGUUGGAGCCUGAUUGAGCUCGACAGAGAUACGCUGCAUACUCGGUUGGGUAGCGCCCACGAGUGCCACUCCGGAGUCAGGCUUGUGCUUUUGCGUUGGUGUCGCUCAUGCCAGUUGGACUUGCCCUCCACGGACCAGUUAGUGUGGAUAGAGCCGAUAGUCGCAGCGGGGCAGGGACGGGUGUAUUCACAAUCCCGGGGGACGGGUAUGCUUACAGUCCCGAUUUGGAUUGGGUCAGAUUUGACAUUUCCUACAGUNNNNNNNNNNNNNNNNNNNNNNNUAAGGCUCUUUACCGACCUACGGUACUUCAGUCUUUAACUGAGUUAUGUAAGGUUGUUCCAAACCUAAAACCAUCUGGGUGGUUUUCCAUAUUAUGGAUAGCCCACAUUUACCUAGAUGUUUUCUUUCUAUCCAAGUCUACCUUUCCAUCUCUGGAUAUUUCGUUCCGACCAACGCUUUCCAAUAUCAGUUGCGCUUCCGUAACUGAUAGUCCUCUGAAAAAGUGGACACCGGUACGAAUUUAGGUAAGCUUGUGACGAACGGGAACGUUGUAUGAUACUAAUACUCUAGACCGUUUACCUACACUUUUGACGGAAGGAUUUACCUAUAGAACUCCUUCUAUAGAUAUACCUCGUCGGAAACCCAAAGUGAAGGCCACUGCUUUCAGUGUUUCAUACGUUCAACGUUGCCAGGUAAAUACCUGAAUUCGUUCAUAGAGCCUGAAUCUUAUGAGCAAAGCUAUUGCACUAAUUUAGCAAAUUAAAGCAAUUCUUACUCCUCCUUGGUACACAAAUAUUCUUCCAGUCACCCUCUCGACAGUGUAAGGAGCAUAACAUGCACCUACUGUAAGAGGAUUAACCCUUACUGUAAGGUUACGACUGAAGUCAAUUUUAUACCAACAGAUUUUUUAAGAGGUACUUUCUAGAUCCCCUUCGUAGGAUAGAAAACCCCUAUUUCCAGAUAUCUCUAUCUAGAUUUUCCUACGAUCCGGAGAGUGUCUUUGACAUGUAUCUUCUCCACGACUUCUCCAAGCCGUACCUUUUGAGGUUUUCCCCUGAAAAUGGAGAAUCUGUACCUUAAAUAGAGAGAUUCUUUUACACGGGGUUAUGUAAACUUCUCUAAGUUGCAUACUCAUUCUAGGGAAUACGUAGUCGAUAUCCCUCAGAAUACAUACGGUACGAUACAUGUGCUGGACUAUAGCGCGAACGUCACUCACAGUGUUCAUCUAUAGUUAGAUUAGGUCCACUCCUCGUGACCUAACGACACUUCUUGUAUGAGUUUAUGAACUCUUCCUGAUUCCUAUACAAGAACCAGAAACCUUAUCUUCUCAACUUUCAUGUUCCUAUAUGACUAAGUCUGUAAUACAGACUACAACUGCUAUCUUUCAGAUGCAAUCCUACACAUAAGAAUACGCUAUCACCCAACCACAUAACCUUCUCAAGGUUUGUUGGUGGGAUGGUACCUUCGUCUCAUAUAGCGGCGUAAACUACAUCCGGAAGACUAAGUACUUCAAACAGUGCCUUAAUUCACACUACAGUAGCCUACGGUAUGGUGAGAUAACGCUGUUUUUACCGCGGUAUCGGGAUCGAUUCCUCGGGUCCAGAGUAGUCUUCAGGUUCGUGUAUCUCGCCGCCAAAGUAUAAUAUACACUGAUAGAGCUGUCUUUAUUUAGCUCUACGUCUCUCAUCUGAGGUGCCUAUUGCACCGUCUGGGAAACUGAUUUGGUGAAUCGAUCGUCUUCUGACUUCAGGUGGAACUCUUCUACCCUGAAUCGAUAUACCGACUAACCGAAAUCACGUUCACCCUCUAACAAUCUACAUACGGGAUCUUCGGUUAGUCUGGCUGUGUAUAUAAGAAAGAUCCUGUAUUUAAACAUAAACUGAAAAUUUUAUAAUACUUAUUGAAACCAAAAAUAAAGGUAAGUACAACACAUACACAGGUACUUAGCAGGUUCCUUAAUUAUUCUACUACUGUAUAUAAGAGUUCACAACUCUUAAACUCUGUACACAGUAACCACUAAUUAAGGAUUUACGAAGGCUAGUUACCUAGUAGUGCCCCUGCCACUAACUAGGCUACUCUAACCACGUAUUCAGCGAAGGGAAAGUCCCAUCUGCUCAAAGCUCAACUGUCACACCCCUGUAACUUCGCUUAUACGUCCACCAACAAUCUCUUNUUCCCAUGGCUCGCACUGGUUGCGCUCUUCAGUGAACCUACAGAUGAGUGAGCAGUCACUGAAUGAGUUAACAACGUCAUCACACUGACCAGGAAACUGGACGCCACGGAGCCGAUAAGUGUUACUCCAAUGACAUCAAACUGACAUGUAUGUGAACCAGGGAUCGGUAAGCCCAGGAACGCCACGUACAACCGACGUCAUCCAAGUAACAUCCUUAUCCCACGCGUGAGUCUACCUUAGAUAGAGGGAACCAUCUAUCCCCACAAUCGAUGUCAGACAUCGUCUCGUUGUAGGUUUUGGGAUCAUCUCCAUAUUCCUAUCUCCAUGAGGAACAUUUCCUCUACUUCCUCUGUAACGAUAUCUAAGUAUCUUUUAGUGGGAUGGGAGAUUUUACUCGACCUACGAGGUGGAGGAGGUACUACAUGUACUGGCUCAGUUUGAAUAGGUUCUGUAGGUUUGAUGACUCGUUGCUCUUCAGAUAUUCUCUCUUCGAGCUCAAUUUUUCUCCUACUAGCUUCUUGAAUAAACUGUUUUUCUAAUAAAAUAGCAUGUUUGCUCACAACUAUAUUGUGAUUCUCUGGGAUAUAAAAAUAGUAACCUAAAGUUUCUUUAGGAUAUCCAAUAAAACGAGCCCUCUCAGACCUAGCCUCUAACUUGUCCGCCUGUAGUCGUUUAACAUAGGCCGGACAUCCCCAAAUCUUGAUAUGACCAAGACUUGGUUUCUUACUAUGCCACAUCUCAUACGGCGUGGUAGGAACGGAUUUUAGAGGGAACCCUAUUUAACAAAUAAGCUGCGGUAAGCAAAGCAUGUCUUCAAAGAAAUAAAAGAAGAUCAGUGAAGCUCAUCAUGGAUCGAACCAUAUAGAAUAAGGUUUGGUUUCUCCGUUCUGACACCCCGUUGAGUUGAGGUGUUCCCGAAGGAGUCCACUAUGAGACUAUGCCGUUUUCUUUGAGAUAAUUUAGGAACUCUCCACUAAGGUAUUCUCCUCCUCGAUCUGAUCGAAGAACCUUGAUGGAUUUUUCAGUUUGUUUUUCUACUUCAUAUUUGAAUUUUUUGAACUUUUCAAAAGCCUCAGAUUUGUGUUUCAUAAGAUACACAUACCCAUACCGUGAAUAAUCAUCGGUAAAGGUUAUGAAGUAGAGAUAACCACCCCUAGCAUGCACAUCAAAUGGCCCACACACAUCAGUGUGUAUCAAGGAAAGUAUCUCAGUGGCCCUUUCCCCUUGUCCUACAAAGGGUAAUUUAGUCAAUUUUCCUUGAAGACAAGAUUCACAAACUGAAUAAGACUCUGAAGUCAAUGGGCCGAGAAGCCCAUCUUUAUCCAAUUUAUUGAUCCUUUCUUCUUCACUAUGACCAAGCCUGAGGUGCCACAUAUACUUUAGGUUCAUUUCAUCUCUAGGUCUCUUAAACCCAACAGCAGUCACUACUUACUCAGAAAUAUUUAUAGAUACAUCCAUAUGUAAAUGAUAAAGACUGUCAAUUAUAAAACCACAGCCAAUAAUUUUAUUUCUAAAAUAAAUUAUGUAGUAGUUUUUGUCAAAAUUAAACCAUUCUGUGCAGAAAUUAAAUUUCUGCUAGCAGGAGGUACAUAAUUGCAGUCUUUAAGUAAUAAAACAUAUCCUGACGGUAGUCGCAAAGGAUAGGUGCCAGCAGCCACAGUAGCAACUCUUGCCCCGUUGCCCACCCGUAGGGUCACUUCACCUUCCCUAAGCUCUCUACUUUUCUUUAGACCCUGCAUUGAAGUACACAGAUAAGAACCAGAACCAGAGUCUAUAACCCAACUAGAAGUAGAGGAAACCGUAAGGUUAGUUUCUAUUACGAGCAAGUCUGACAUACCUUCCAAAGGUGUGUCCUUCCUUUUAUUCUUUAAGCUCUCCAAGUAGACAGGACAAUUUCUCUUCCAAUGACCGUCAACGUUGCAGUGGAAACAUUUUCCUUUGUUAGCGGCCUUAUUCUUAGAAGCUUCCUUCUUGGGCUUGUUUUCCGUCUUUUGUUUCUUCGCGGGUUUCUUCUUCCAAUUAGACUUUCUUUUGGAAGAGGAAGCUCGCUCCACAGCGAGAAUCGAACCCUUUGAACUUUUCAAAGUCCCCUCUGUAGUUACCAACAUGUUCAAUAACUCUGCGUUGGUGCAUUCAAUUUUAUUCAUAUGGUAGUUUACAAUAAACUGUCCAUAUGAUACAGGAAGGGAUUGUAGGAUCAGAUCAACUUGCAAUUCCUUGUCCAUUUUCACGCCAAGCUUCUCAAGCUCCUCGAGGUCUUUGAUCAUUGUCAAACAGUGAUCAUGAACAGACUGCCCAUCUGUUAGUUAUUGGACGUUUUGGCAACGUGAGAUUUACCUGGUCGAGAACAAUGCAGAGCUUAUUGAAAUUUAAAACCAUUUUUAAAUUCCUUAGCCAGUCUUUAUAAUUAAUUUCAGUUAAGGAUUUUGUGUCGAGAAUACGAGAGAGAUAAUUGGAAGCAGACAUUUACUUUGCAGAGAGUAAAGAUUCAAGUUAGAUAUUUGUAUUUGUUUUGAAAAAUUGUUUUAGGGAUUUUAAAAACAAAUUUAACCUCCAAUUAUUUUCUCGAGUCUCUUACACUCCUCGGGUAGAGAAACGAAAACCCAACGCGACAAGAGGUUUCAAGUGGGUACUGCGGUCCCACCAAUUUAACGUACCACCUCACCUAACAGUUAUUGGUGAUAUGCAAACCGAUGAGUGGACAACUCUUGUCCAAUGCUUCUCAAGCAAAUUGCAGUGAUCGGUCUCUAAGUCCUAUAGGCCUCACCUGACAGUUAUUGGCCCCAUUCCUUAGUUAAGUCAGACCCACCGUUCAAACGCGUAAGCAAAACCGUCAUUGGGUCCCUCACCUGACAGUUAUUGGGCCCAACCCCAUCUUUACUCCGCAGCAUCUCAUGCUAAUAGAGUGGUUGCGAAUUCCCGAUGCAACUGACCACUGUAACCAGCCGUGCCAAUCAACACCAGAAAAGCGCCCGCACUUCUACAACGGCGGAAGACCGCUCGACUUAAUAUUUAUGAGGAGAUUUAUUUAGGUCUCAAAAAAUAUUUUAUUUAUUUGCAAAUAAAAUAAAAAAUCAAUCCGCGCAAACAAACAUAAUUAAACUGGUGAUGAUCAUGGAUCUUAGAAGUGGAUUCGGACUCGAGCCACUGAGUCGGAAUCGGGGUCUUAGGGUCAUAAAUUACAAGCACACACACGUCAUUGGUUUGAUCGUCUUCAACUUCUUGAUCCGAUCUGGAGCUUCAACUUGAUUUGAUCCUUAUCAACACCUUGAUCCGACCGCCAUCAAGUAUUCAUCUCUAUCCGGGCUUUGCGAACUUUUAGGCUUGCAACCGAUCAACCAAUGACGUGCAACCAUACAUUAUACAACCCAAUAAUAAAAAAAAUAAAAUAAAAAUUAAUUACAUUUGAUAACGUUUAUCUCUAACCUAUUGAGACACGCAGGUCUCCAAAUAAAUCGGCUUGUGCACGCAGGCACAAAUAUAGCCAUCUCUAAUACAAAAUUCUUAAUUUAAACAAAUUUAAAAUUACAGGAUUCUGCAUACACAUCAUACAUCACAUGUCGAAAUAAAAAAAAAAAAAAAGGUUGCUAUCCAUGAUCAUCACCGUAUCUCAUACAUCACAUGUAUAAUAAUAAAUUUUGGAUAUUCUAAUUAACCGUUAACCGAUGAUUCGAAAGAAUAAAUUAUUAAAAAUAAUCAAUCUUAUUGAUUAUUAUAAUUUUGAUCAACAACUUAAUUUACAAAAAUAACAUCUUGAUCUCAUCAAGAAAUCAAUUUGAUCUAAUCAAAUUAGAUCUUUUUCUUUUAUUUUAAAAUCGAUCUAAUCAACCUUUAAAAAAAAAAAUUUAAAUUAAAUUUUUUUUAAAAUUCCGUACGAUUGCUACAGUAGCAUCGUACGGAUGCUACAGUAGCGUCGUACGGGGAUGCUACAGUAGCGUCCGUACAGAUGCUACAGUAGCAUCGCUACAGUAACUUUUUUUUUCUUUUUUUUUGAAACCAAUAGAUUAAAUAGUUGAUCGAUUUAUAAUUUUCGAAUUAGCUAAAAACGAUCUAUAAAUCGUUCGAUCGGCGAAAAACAGUUUAGAAUACCAAACUCAUAAUUUUAAUCUUAAAAACAUGAGAAUGGCUCUGAUACCACUGUUAGAAAAUUGCGUACGGUAAAAACGCAGCGGAAAAAGAAAUCAAACAAAUUUGAUUUUUUAAAACUCUCGAGAUCAAAUCUCAAAAACCACGCAAUUAGGAUCCCUCAUGUUCUUUAAGAUUAAAGGAGAAAAGUAAGAUCGAAU